rnacentral:rRNA from 1 species
AAAAAAGGUAAGCUACUAAGAGCGAAUGGUGGAUGCCUUGACUGGUAAAGGCGAUGAAGGACGUACUAGACUGCGAUAAGCUACGGGGAGCUGUCAAGAAGCUUUGAUCCGUAGAUUUCCGAAUGGGGCAACCCAAUGUAUAGAGAUAUACAUUACCUAUAUAGGAGCGAACGAGGGGAAUUGAAACAUCUUAGUACCCUCAGGAAAAGAAAUCAAUAGAGAUUGCGUCAGUAGCGGCGAGCGAAAGCGCAAGAGGGCAAACCCAGUGCUUGCACUGGGGGUUGUAGGACUGCAAUGUGCAAGAGGUGAGUUUAGCAGAACAUUCUGGAAAGUAUAGCCAUAGAGGGUGAUAGUCCCGUAUGCGAAAAACAAACCUUAGCUAGCAGUAUCCUGAGUAGGGCGGGACACGAGAAAUCCUGUCUGAAGCUGGGUCGACCACGAUCCAACCCUAAAUACUAAUACCAGAUCGAUAGUGCACAAGUACCGUGAGGGAAAGGUGAAAAGAACUGAGGUGAUCAGAGUGAAAUAGAACCUGAAACCAUUUGCUUACAAUCAUUCAGAGCCCUAUGUAGCAAUACAGGGUGAUGGACUGCCUUUUGCAUAAUGAGCCUGCGAGUUGUGGUGUCUGGCAAGGUUAAGCAAACGCGAAGCCGUAGCGAAAGCGAGUCUGAAUAGGGCGCUUAGUCAGAUGCUGCAGACCCGAAACGAAGUGAUCUAUCCAUGAGCAAGUUGAAGCUAGUGUAAGAACUAGUGGAGGACUGAACCCAUAGGCGUUGAAAAGCCCCGGGAUGACUUGUGGAUAGGGGUGAAAGGCCAAUCAAACUUCGUGAUAGCUGGUUCUCUCCGAAAUAUAUUUAGGUAUAGCGUUGUGUCGUAAUAUAAGGGGGUAGAGCACUGAAUGGGCUAGGGCAUACACCAAUGUACCAAACCCUAUCAAACUCCGAAUACCUUAUAUGUAAUCACAGCAGUCAGGCGGCGAGUGAUAAAAUCCGUCGUCAAGAGGGAAACAACCCAGACUACCAGCUAAGGUCCCUAAAUCUUACUUAAGUGGAAAACGAUGUGAAGUUACUUAAACAACCAGGAGGUUGGCUUAGAAGCAGCCAUCCUUUAAAGAAAGCGUAAUAGCUCACUGGUCUAGUGAUUUUGCGCGGAAAAUAUAACGGGGCUAAAGUAAGUACCGAAGCUGUAGACUUGCGCACAACUUAGAUUAUUUAAGUUUAGAAUAUGAGAAACUAAGUUAUAUGUUUAGUUAUAUUUUUACUGAUUUUUAUAGAGUAAAGAUAGAAAUAAAACUUAGUAAAAUCAGUAAAAAUAUUCUUAGACUAAAGUUAAGUAGUUUAAGUUGUGUGCAAGUGGUAGGAGAGCGUUCUAUUUGCGUCGAAGGUAUACCGGUAAGGAGUGCUGGAGCGAAUAGAAGUGAGCAUGCAGGCAUGAGUAGCGAUAAUUAAUGUGAGAAUCAUUAACGCCGUAAACCCAAGGUUUCCUACGCGAUGCUCGUCAUCGUAGGGUUAGUCGGGUCCUAAGUCGAGUCCGAAAGGGGUAGACGAUGGCAAAUUGGUUAAUAUUCCAAUACCAACAUUAGUGUGCGAUGGAAGGACGCUUAGGGCUAAGGGGGCUAGCGGAUGGAAGUGCUAGUCUAAGGUCGUAGGAGGUUAUACAGGCAAAUCCGUAUAACAAUACUCCGAGAACUGAAAGGCUUUUUGAAGUCUUCGGAUGGAUAGAAGAACCCCUGAUGCCGUCGAGCCAAGAAAAGUUUCUAAGUUUAGCUAAUGUUGCCCGUACCGUAAACCGACACAGGUGGGUGGGAUGAGUAUUCUAAGGCGCGUGGAAGAACUCUCUUUAAGGAACUCUGCAAAAUAGCACCGUAUCUUCGGUAUAAGGUGUGGUUCGCUUCGUAUUAGGAUUUACUCCGAAAGCGAAGAAACUUACAACAAAGAGUCCCUCCCGACUGUUUACCAAAAACACAGCACUCUGCUAACUCGUAAGAGGAUGUAUAGGGUGUGACGCCUGCCCGGUGCUCGAAGGUUAAUUGAUGGGGUUAGCAUUAGCGAAGCUCUUGAUCGAAGCCCGAGUAAACGGCGGCCGUAACUAUAACGGUCCUAAGGUAGCGAAAUUCCUUGUCGGUUAAAUACCGACCUGCAUGAAUGGCGUAACGAGAUGGGAGCUGUCUCAAAGAGGGAUCCAGUGAAAUUGUAGUGGAGGUGAAAAUUCCUCCUACCCGCGGCAAGACGGAAAGACCCCGUGGACCUUUACUACAGCUUGACACUGCUAUUUGGAUAAGAAUGUGCAGGAUAGGUGGGAGGCUUUGAGUAUAUGACGCCAGUUGUAUAUGAGCCAUUGUUGAGAUACCACUCUUUCUUAUUUGGGUAGCUAACCAGCUUGAGUUAUCCUCAAGUGGGACAAUGUCUGGUGGGUAGUUUGACUGGGGCGGUCGCCUCCCAAAUAAUAACGGAGGCUUACAAAGGUUGGCUCAGAACGGUUGGAAAUCGUUCGUAGAGUAUAAAGGUAUAAGCCAGCUUAACUGCAAGACAUACAAGUCAAGCAGAGACGAAAGUCGGUCUUAGUGAUCCGGUGGUUCUGUGUGGAAGGGCCAUCGCUCAAAGGAUAAAAGGUA